rnacentral:rRNA from 2 species
GGUGGCUUUAGCGGAGAGGUCACACCCGUUCCCAUCCCGAACACGGAAGUUAAGCUCUCCAGUGCCGAUGGUACUGCACGGGCGACUGUGUGGGAGAGUAGGGCGCUGCCG